AGGGUGGAUUGUCCCCUCUGGGUUAAUGGAGAGUUACUGCCUCAAGUGAAAUUCAAAUAUCUCGGGGUCUUGCUCUCUGGCUAUACUCAAAU